AGUAGUCGUAGCAUGGUAGCCGUAUGUUGUAAGUCCGUACGCGCUAGAGAUUUGACCUUGCUCCUUGGGUGGCGAGUGGGGGACGGGUGAGGGAUACAUCGGAAUCUACUUUGUCGUGGGGGAUAACGUAGGGAAACUUACGCUAAUACCGCAUACCACCUACGGGUGAGAGCUCGGGAUCUUCUGACCUUGCGCGAUUGAAUGAGCCGAUGUCGGAUUAUCUAGUUGGCGGGGUAAAGGCCCACCACGGCCACGAUCCGUACCUGGUCUGAGAGGAUGAUCAGCCACACUGAAACUGAGACACGAUCCCUACUCCUACGGGAGGCGGCAAUGGGGAAUAUUGGACAAUGGGCGCAAGCCUGAUCCACCCAUACCGCGUGGGUGAAGAAGGCCUUCGGGUUGUAAAGCCCUUUUGUUGGGAAAGAAAUCCAUCUGGUUAAUACCCGGUUGGGAUGACGGUACAGCAAAGAAUAGCACCGGCUAACUUCGUGCCAGCAGCCGCGUUAAUACAAAGGGUGCAAGCCUUACUCGGAAUUACUGGGCGUAAAGCGUGCGUAGGUGGUCGUUUAA
rnacentral:rRNA from 1 species